rnacentral:ncRNA from 1 species
UGUUAUCAAAGGUCCAGACCUUAAUUCAAAAUA